rnacentral:rRNA from 1 species
AAAACAUCGCCUCCUGCAAUAUAAUCAAGUAUAGGAGGUCCAGCCUGCCCAGUGACCACAAGUUCAACGGCCGCGGUAUUUUGACCGUGCAAAGGUAGCGCAAUCACUUGUCUUUUAAAUAGAGACCUGUAUGAAUGGCUAAACGAGGGCUUAACUGUCUCCCCUUUCAAGUCAGUGAAAUUGAUCUACCCGUGCAGAAGCGGGUAUAAUAAUACAAGACGAGAAGACCCUUUGGAGCUUAAGGUACAAAACUCAACCACGUCAAGCAACUUAAUAAAAAGCAAAAACUUUGUGGAACAUGAGAUUUUACCUUCGGUUGGGGCGACCGCGGAGGAGAAAAAAGCCUCCAAGUGGACCGGGACAAACUCCUAAAACCAAGAGAGACAUCUCUAAGCCACAGAACAUCUGACCAAACAUGAUCCGGCCACUAGGACCGAUCAACGAACCAAGUUACCCUAGGGAUAACAGCGCAAUCCCCUCCCAGAGUCCAUAUCGACGAGGGGGUUUACGACCUCGAUGUUGGAUCAGGACAUCCUAAUGGUGCAGCCGCUAUUAAGGGUUCGUUUGUUCAACGAUUAAAGUCCUACGUGA